UACAGAGGUCCCAAGCGUUGUUCGGAUUCACUGGGCGUAAAGGGUGCGCAGGUGGGCUGUCAAGUUUGAUGUGAAAGCCCCGGGCUUAACCCGGGAAUGGCAUUGAAUACUGAUGGUCUGGAGGAUUGGAGGGGGGACUGGAAUUCUUGGUGUAGCAGUGAAAUGCGUAGAUAUCAAGAGGAACACCAGUGGCGAAGGCGACCUGCUGGACCUCUUCUGACGCUGAGGCGCGAAAGCUAGGGGAGCAAACGGG
rnacentral:rRNA from 1 species